CAUAGCGACUAUCGUGGCAUAUCAAUAAGCGGAGGAAAAGAAACUAACAAGGAUUCCCCUAGUAACGGCGAGUGAAGCGGGAAGAGCUCAAAUUUGAAAUCUUAAAGGGUUUCCCUUUACGAAUUGUAGUUUAAAGAAGUGUUUUCUGUUAGAGAGUUGGUAAAAGUUCUUUGGAAUAGGACAUCAUAGAGGGUGAGAAUCCCGUAUUUGACGUCACUUUCUACUAGCUGUUGUGAUACACUUUCAAAGAGUCGGAUUGUUUGGGAAUGCAGUCCAAAAUGGGUGGUAAAUUUCAUCUAAAGCUAAAUACUGGCGAGAGACCGAUAGCGAACAAGUACCGUGAGGGAAAGAUGAAAAGAACUUUGAAAAGAGAGUUAAACAGUACGUGAAAUUGUCAAAAGGGAAGCGUUUGACACCAGUGUUGUUUAGUCUCGAAAAUCAAUUAAAAAUGGUGGGAUGUUGUGUUGUAUUGACUUUAUCAGCUUUCUGCACUUUUUUUCCUAUCUUUUUUAAUGCACUUUUCGUUUAACAAGUCAACAUCAAUUUCUUUUGUUGUAAAAGAGUCAUUGGAAGGUGGCUUUCUUUUCGGAGAAAGUGUUUAUAGCCUUUGGCUUCUGCAAUCGGAGAGAUUGAGGUCUGCAGCGUAGAUCCUUCGGGGUUAGAUACAUUUGUGCUAAGUUAUAGCCUUUCAUAGUCAACUUGUUGACUAUGAUCAGUCAUGUAGCUUACUCGCUUAUGCUAUUUUACCUACGCUUAGGAUGUUGAUAUGCAUGACUGAUAU
rnacentral:rRNA from 1 species